UUGUAUGUGUUUCAUGAAUCAUUCCUAUAGCUUUGGCAUCAUAGUGCUACUUUUUUAGUAGCUCACAAUGAGGGAACAGGACCUUCAGAUCUGCACAAGGACUUUGUGCCCACAGGGUAGUCCAGUUCAAACUGCAGUGAUAAGUCUUUCUGCCCACUUCUCUAGCAUGAAGUGCUGAUUCAUCUCUUCAAAAAGUCAAAGCCUGCUUACCUAGUGCUUGCAUCUGGCUGCUUUGUGUAUACAUUGAGCUCUUCCUAUGAAAUUCCAAAAAGACUGCAUUGGGUUUUGUAGGUUAGGGACAAACCUUUCAGUCACCUGAAUGAUUCGGAGUCUAAGCCCUGGUUUCGAGAGUGACAGACACUUAAAGCCAGAUUUUGAAAGAUGGGGAAACUGAAGAGAGAGGAUGACUUGUCCAAAGCCCUCAAUGGCAGAGCUGCUAGUAGAAUCCAGGAGUCCUAAUCCCAUCUGCCAGACUUCCCUGUGUUUGCCUGUAUCACACAUUAGCCAAAUGAUAGUUGAAUUAAAAUAUUCAGGAACACAA